CGCUAUCAUCGCCAUAAGGCUGAGAGAAAUCAAGUAGGCGAUGCUCGGUCUUACCGCUAGGGGCGCGGGAGUAUACUUUCUGAAAAUUUUUCUACUUUUUCUAAUAUUAGUACUGAAUACGUGCUUCACACACACGUAUUGGCGGGAAUUGUAUUUAACUUUACGUCAUCAACUGUACACCUUAAUUUUCUAGAUCCCCUUCCUGUAUCCCGUGAAUUAUUUCAAAAUUUUAUUCUAAUUCUUUGGUAUGGUAAUAAAAUUAUACAUUUACCCCCUCUUUUCCCUAUUUUUCAGAUGUAUAGAGCCCAUCGUGAAACCCUGCAUUUCAGACAAUAUUUCGUGUUUUUCUAACAGAAGUCAGAAGCUGUCAGAACACAGAAACAGAAGCGGGAAUUGUGAAGUGCUGCCCAUCCUAACCCAAAGAUAAGGAGCUAUUUAAAAACGGAAACAGAAGAUUCCCAGGAAGGAAGUUUCAAAAUUACUUGCUUCAGACAGAUGCAGGCGACUGGAUCUAGGAGCGAUCAUUUGGAAAUGGAGUACUAGCACUACAGGACAAUUAGUGCCCACUCUAUGGAACUUUAAAGCAGCAGUGAUAUAAAACAAGAGAUACCAAUAACUGCCUAUACCCAAACCAUACACGUUACAUUUCAUUGAUAUUAUUGGACAAACAAGUAAUGUGACCGCAAAGACAAGAUAGUUCGCCAUGUGCUCUUCUUAACUCUGUGAGUAGUGCUAACAACACACUAUUAUGUUAUUCAUAAUCUUGUUCAACUAUCAUAAAAUAAAGAUGCUCAAAUGACAACAGCUUAUUAGUAGCUGGACAGCAUGGCCAACUCCUGUCAAUGCCACACAAUUGUUGUAUCCCAACAAUACUUCCAUUCUGCAAAAACCUAAAUGUCAGAACAUAUUCAUAGCAGUGGGGUGGCAGUCAACGUCUCAGGCAAAGUGUACAGUUUAUAUAUUUCUUGGUUAUUAACACCUUACAAUUUUACUUGCAUUUCACAAAAUAUGUAACAUGGUAUCAAUGUAAGGUUACAAUAUAAUCAUCGUCUUGCCAA
rnacentral:lncRNA from 1 species